AUAAUGAUAUUUAAGAUCUCUUUAUAUUGUAUUUAAAGGGGCUGGACUUUAGCUGAAUAAACAAAGGGAUUUAACUCCUAAAUGGCAGUGAAUUGAGCAGUGAGACUGCAGGGGCGUGAUCUAUACACCAAAACCCCGUCACCCCUUCACUUCUGAUCACUUUUUAUGGAAUCAAUAUGAGCAUUACAUUUAUUUGAAGCAAGGGAUGCAUGACUGGCAUAUAAACAUACCAUAACACAGUCAUGUUGGGUGUAGAUUGAAAACAUGUCCAUUUAAAGCAGGGGUUCUCAAC